AAAAGUAUUAUAUAUGUAUAUAACAUAAAUUGAUUUUGGGGGAUUGUGGUUGAUUAUUAUGAUAUUAAUCGAUCAGUUGUGAUUGCAGGAAGCAGCAUUGUAUGUGUUGAAUACAAGGAGCAUUGAAGAAGCCAUGAGGAUUUUCACCAAGGAUUUGCAGCCAGUUGUAACUGUUGCAGAACAGAAUGAGAAAGCAACCAUUGAUUUCAAUGAACACAGUGAAGGAACCACCGUGGAUUUCAAUGAAGAGUUUAACUGUUUUGCUAAUGAAUUACAAAUUCCAUUGCCAAGAGAUAUUGCCUCUUCACCUUUUUGAUAAUGAUUUAAUUGCUCCUUCCUUCCAGUUUUUAUAUAUUAUAGUUAUAGCAUGUUUUACAGGGUGGAUUUUGCUCGCCCAUUAGUUUAAUUUUUUAAAAAUAUUUGGGGUACUAACAAUCUUACUAAUACACUCACAAGUUGAAGUGGGUCACAUACAAAGUGAUGAUCUUAUCAAAACUUGUAAGUGUGCUAAUAAGAUUGUUAAAAAGUAUGUAAGUAUCUCUAGUAUUGUUGUUAAUUUUUUGGAUUUAGGGUUUUAUGAACUUUUAAAAGUGGUUAUGUACCAAAAUGUAGUGUUGUGUUUCCUUUUCGAACUCAAUUGGAUAAUGCUUUAUUGGAUAUUGUAAAUUUUUUAUUUUAUUUUUAGAUAUUGAAUAUAUA